UGAAUUGUUCGGUGGUAAUCCACAUCUGCCAGCCAUAUUUUUGUUUUAAAUUUACAAUUUGACCAGGUAGCCCUUCUUGUGUGUUGUUUGCUAUUUGCUUAUGCAAGAAUGAGUGUUGGGGCCCUGAAGGCCGGUUUUUAGUCAGUUGUUCUGAUUAGAUGACGUCAAGCGGUUUGAUAGCGUGCAUGUUUUGUGGGGUGUUAAUUAUGUGUCAGUUUGUAUCAAGGACGAAACUUGA